rnacentral:rRNA from 1 species
GAGACAGCAGCCGCCACGGUAACACGAAGGGGGCUAGCGUUGUUCGGAUUUACUGGGCGUAAAGCGCACGUAGGCGGAUCGAUCAGUCAGGGGUGAAAUCCCAGAGCUCAACUCUGGAACUGCCUUUGAUACUGUCGAUCUGGAGUAUGGAAGAGGUGAGUGGAAUUCCGAGUGUAGAGGUGAAAUUCGUAGAUAUUCGGAGGAACACCAGUGGCGAAGGCGGCUCACUGGUCCAUUACUGACGCUGAGGUGCGAAAGCGUGGGGAGCAAACAGGAUUAGAUACCCCCGUAGUCCCUGUCUCUUAUAA